UAGGGAAUCUUGCACAAUGGGCGAAAGCCUGAUGCAGCAACGCCGCGUGGGGGAUGAAUGCCCUCGGGUUGUAAACCCCUUUCAGCAGGGACGAAACUGACGGUACCUGCAGAAGAAGCUCCGGCCAACUACGUGCCAGCAGCCGCGGUAACACGUAGGGGGCGAGCGUUGUCCGGAUUUAUUGGGCGUAAAGAGCUCGUAGGCGGCUCAGUUAGUCGGGUGUGAAACCCCCGGGCUCAACCCGGGGUCGCCACCCGAUACUGCUGUGGCUAGAGUCCGGUAGGGGAGCGUGGAAUUCCUGGUGUAGCGGUGAAAUGCGCAGAUAUCAGGAGGAACACCAGCGGCGAAGGCGGCGCUCUGGGCCGGUACUGACGCUGAGGAGCGAAAGCGUGGGGAGCGAACAGGAUUAGAUACCCGGGUAGUCC
rnacentral:rRNA from 1 species